rnacentral:rRNA from 1 species
CCCUCGGCCUCUGGCCGCUGGGACCUGUAGCGUACAUUCGCAGCCAUCCGUCGCUGACGUCCACCCUAAGUUCCCUUGACUGGGACUAUAAUCCAGAGAAGGUGCGAGGCCUGUGAGGGUGACGCUGGUGGCGGUAGGUUGUGCCUUGGAGUCGGAUUGCCUGAGAUCGCAGUCCAAAGAGGGUGGUAAACCUCAUCUAAGGCUAAAUAUGACCACGAGACCGAUAGCAAACAAGUACCGUGAGGGAAAGUUGCAAAGAACUUUGAAGAGAGAGUUCAAGAGGGCGUGAAACCGCUUAGAAGGAAACGGACAGAGCUGACGAAACUCGGCGGCAUUCAUCCGGUCGUCAGCUGCCCGUCUGCGGUCGGCCGAUCCACCAGGACGGUCUUCUGUAGAUGGGGCAGCGACGGCUGGUGCAUUUGCCGCCGGUAUGCACUGAGAGCGCCGCCGUCGUGUUCCGACCGGUUGGGAAGUGGCCCUGGACUUUGGUCUAGGUGUCCUGCCCAGCCAAUAGGAUGAUCGACGGUGGCGUCCUCCGUGGGGUGUUCCGCCGUUUGCGAACAGACUUCUGGUUUUGGUUUGUGCUGCUAGUGGCAGUCGCGUGCGACUUGUCGUUAGCGGUGCAGGUCAGUCUGGUUGAUCUGUGACCUUUGGACGCCUUCUCGGUGUGAAAGUUGGCCACCUGUCCGACCCGUCUUGAAACACGGACCAAGGAGUCUAACAUGUGCGCGAGUCAUUGGGUGGAAAACCUAAAGGCGUAAUGAAAGUGAAGGUUGACUUGAUCAACUGAUAUGGGAUCCGUUCGGUUUCGGCCGAGCGGCGCACCAUAGCCCCAUCUCGACCGCUUGCGGUAGGGUGGCGGCAGAGCGUACACGUUGGGACCCGAAAGAUGGUGAACUAUGCCUGAGCAGGACGAAGCCAAAGGGAACUCUG